rnacentral:rRNA from 1 species
GCAAUGGAAUAUUGCACAUGGGGCAGCUGAUGAGCGACGCCGCUGAGGAAUGACGGCUUCCGGUGUAACUCUUCACCCAUGACGAGCGGCAAGUGACGGUAGUGGGAGAAGAGCACCGGCCAACUACGUGCAGCAGCGCGGUAUACGUAGGGUGCAGCGUUGUCCGGAAUUACUGGCGUAAGAGCUCGUGGGCGGUUUGUCGCGUCGUCUGUGAAAUCCCGCAGCUCCACUGCGGGCUGCGGCGAUACGGGCAGACUCGAGUACUGCAGGGGAGACUGGAAUUCCUGGUGUAGCGGUGAAAUGCGCAGAUAUCAGGAGGAACACCGGUGGCGAGGGCGGGUCUCUGGGCAGUAACUGACGCUGAGGAGCGAAGCGUGGGUAGCGAACAGGAUUAGAUACCCUGGUAGUCACGCGUAAACGGUGGGCGCUAGGUGUGGGUUUCCUUCCACGGGAUCCGUGCGUAGCCAACGCAUUAGCGCCCCGCCUGGGGAGUACGGCCGCAAGGCUAAAACUCAAAGGAAUUGACGGGGGCCCGCACAGCGGCGGAGCAUGUGGAUUAAUUCGAUGCAACGCGAAGAACCUUACCUGGGUUUGACAUGUACCGGACGACUGCAGAGAUGUGGUUUCCCUUGUGGCCGGUAGACAGGUGGUGCAUGGCGUCGUCAGCUCGUGUCGUGAGAUGUUGGGUUAAGUCCCGCAACGAGCGCAACCCUUGUCCUGUGUUGCCAGCACGUGAUGGUGGGGACUCGCAGGAGACUGCCGGGGUCAACUCGGAGGAAGGUGGGGACGACGUCAAGUCAUCAUGCCCCUUAUGUCCAGGGCUUCACACAUGCUACAAUGGUCGGUACAGAGGGCUGCGAUACCGUGAGGUGGAGCGAAUCCCUUAAAGCCGGUCUCAGUUCGGAUCGGGGUCUGCAACUCGACCCCGUGAAGUCGGAGUCGCUAGUAAUCGCAGAUCAGCAACGCUGCGGUGAAUACGUUCCCGGGCCUUGUACACACCGCCCGUCACGUCAUGAAAGUCGGUAACACCCGAAGCCGGUGGCCUA